rnacentral:tRNA from 1 species
GCGCUGUUAGCUCAGCUGGUAGAGCAGCUCCCUUUUAAGGAGACGGUCGCAAGUUCGAAUCUUGCACGGCGCACAA